AAGUCGACGAGUUCUGAUUAUUGAAAGGUGCUUGCAUCUUGAUUUAAUUUUGAACGAGUGGCGGACGGGUGAGUAACACGUGGGUAACCUGCCCUUAAGUGGGGGAUAACAUUUGGAAACAGAUGCUAAUACCGCAUAAAUCCAAGAACCGCAUGGUUCUUGGCUGAAAGAUGGCGUAAGCUAUCGCUUUUGGAUGGACCCGCGGCGUAUUAGCUAGUUGGUGAGGUAACGGCUCACCAAGGCAAUGAUACGUAGCCGAACUGAGAGGUUGAUCGGCCACAUUGGGACUGAGACACGGCCCAAACUCCUACGGGAGGCAGCAGUAGGGAAUCUUCCACAAUGGACGCAAGUCUGAUGGAGCAACGCCGCGUGAGUGAAGAAGGCUUUCGGGUCGUAAAACUCUGUUGUUGGAGAAGAAUGGUCGGCAGAGUAACUGUUGUCGGCGUGACGGUAUCCAACCAGAAAGCCACGGCUAACUACGUGCCAGCAGCCGCGGUAAUACGUAGGUGGCAAGCGUUAUCCGGAUUUAUUGGGCGUAAAGCGAGCGCAGGCGGUUUUUUAAGUCUGAUGUGAAAGCCCUCGGCUUAACCGAGGAAGUGCAUCGGAAACUGGGAAACUUGAGUGCAGAAGAGGACAGUGGAACUCCAUGUGUAGCGGUGAAAUGCGUAGAUAUAUGGAAGAACACCAGUGGCGAAGGCGGCUGUCUGGUCUGUAACUGACGCUGAGGCUCGAAAGCAUGGGUAGCGAACAGGAUUAGAUACUCUGGU
rnacentral:rRNA from 2 species